AGUUUGAUCCUGGCUCAGGACGAACGCUGGCGGCGUGCUUAACACAUGCAAGUCGAGCGGUGAAGCCCCUUCGGGGGUGGAUCAGCGGCGAACGGGUGAGUAACACGUGGGCAACCUGCCCUCAGCUCUGGGAUAACCCCGAGAAAUCGGGGCUAAUACCGGAUACGACCACCGACGGCAUCUUCGGUGGUGGAAAGUUCCGGCGGCUGAGGAUGGGCCCGCGGCCUAUCAGCUUGUUGGUGGGGUCACGGCCCACCAAGGCGACGACGGGUAGCCGGCCUGAGAGGGCGACCGGCCACACUGGGACUGAGACACGGCCCAGACUCCUACGGGAGGCAGCAGUGGGGAAUAUUGCGCAAUGGGCGAAAGCCUGACGCAGCGACGCCGCGUGAGGGACGAAGGCCUUCGGGUUGUAAACCUCUUUCAGCAGGGACGAAGCGAAAGUGACUGUACCUGCAGAAGAAGCACCGGCUAACUACGUGCCAGCAGCCGCGGUAAUCGC
rnacentral:rRNA from 1 species